rnacentral:miRNA from 1 species
UCUACCCAUUGCCUGCCUCCCAG